rnacentral:rRNA from 1 species
CUACGUGCCAGCAGCCGCGGUAAUACGUAGGUCCCGAGCGUUGUCCGGAUUUAUUGGGCGUAAAGUGAGCGCAGGCGGUUAGAUAAGUCUGAAGUUAAAGGCUGUGGCUUAACCAUAGUACGCUUUGGAAACUGUUUAACUUGAGUGCAAGAGGGGAGAGUGGAAUUCCAUGUGUAGCGGUGAAAUGCGUAGAUAUAUGGAGGAACACCGGUGGCGAAAGCGGCUCUCUGGCUUGUAACUGACGCUGAGGCUCGAAAGCGUGGGGAGCAAACAGGAUUAGAUACCCUGGUAGUCCACGCCGUAAACGAUGAGUGCUAGGUGUUAGACCCUUUCCGGGGUUUAGUGCCGUAGCUAACGCAUUAAGCACUCCGCCUGGGGAGUACGACCGCAAGGUUGAAACUCAAAGGAAUUGACGGGGGCCCGCACAAGCGGUGGAGCAUGCGGAUUAAUUCGAUGCAACGCGAA